ACAGCAACAAGUGCUGUACAUGCACUCUCGCCUGCUGCCCUCCCACUUCGCUGAUCAAUUGAAGCAAAAAAGACCUCUGUUUGAAGCUUCAUGUGCCCAUCACGACUAAUUAUAUUUUUGUGCUCCCAACUGCCUACAGCAAAAUUGUCAUCUCCAAAAUCAGAAACUGAUGAUCGAUUUGCAGUUGAAUCCUCAUCUGCUUUAUGAGACCCAAAAGCACCAGCAUCAUCAGAGCCAAGCUGCCGUCGAUCAUAAUCAAUAUCAUCUCCACCUUCUUCUCCAUAUGCUUUUUUCAACAAUGGCUCUCCUUUCGCCUUGGGUGACCUAAAGCUCAAUUUCCUCUUCCUCCAAGAUAGU
rnacentral:misc_RNA from 1 species